rnacentral:rRNA from 1 species
UACGGGGGGGGCAAGCGUUGUUCGGAAUUACUGGGCGUAAAGCGCGUGUAGGCGGCUUUUUAAGUCAGACGUGAAAGCCCUAGGCUUAACCUAGGAACUGCGUUUGAUACUGAAAAGCUAGAGUGUGGAAGAGGCUACUGGAAUUCCGUGUGUAGCGGUGAAAUGCGUAGAUAUACGGAGGAACACCAGAGGCGAAGGCGGCCUACUGGGCUGCACCUGACGCUGAGCCGCGAAAGCCAGGGGAGCGAACGGG